CGUGUAGGUGGUACUGUAAGUAGGGCGUGAAAGCUCCUGGCUCAACUGGGAGAGGCCGUUCUAAACUACAGAACUAGAGGAUGGUAGAGGGAGGUGGAAUUCCAGGUGUAGCGGUGAAAUGCGUAGAUAUCUGGAGGAACACCGGUGGCGAAGGCGGCGUCCUGGACCAACACUGACACUGAUGAGCGAAAGCCAGGGGAGCAAAC
rnacentral:rRNA from 1 species